UGCCUGUGAUGUAUGAAUAUUGUCCGUACCAUCUGAGAGAUUAUUCUUUGAUCGAUACAAUAAUUCUUGAAUCUGAGGCUU
rfam:Medicago truncatula strain A17 chromosome 3, whole genome shotgun sequence.